CCUACGGGCGGCUGCAGUGGGGAAUAUUGCACAAUGGGGGAAACCCUGAUGCAGCAACGCCGCGUGAAUGAGGAAGUAUUUCGGUAUGUAAAGCUCUAUCAGCAGGGAGUAGGAAAGAAGGUACCUGAAAAAAAAGCCCCGGCUAACUACGUGCCAGCAGCCGCGGUAAUACGUAGGGGGCAAGCGUUAGCCGGAUUUACUGGGUGUAAAGGGAGCGGAGACGGAGAGGCAAGUCAGAAGUGAAAGCCCAAGGCUCAACCAUGGGAAUGCGUUUGAAACUGUCAAACUAGAGUACGGGAGGGGUAAGAGGAAUUCCUAGUGUAGCGGUGAAAUGCGUAGAUAUUAGGAGGAACACCAGCGGCGAAGGCGUCUCCCUGGACCGAAACUGACGUUGAGGAUCGAAAGCGUGGGGAGCAAACAGGAUUAGAUACCCGGGUAGUC
rnacentral:rRNA from 1 species